rnacentral:antisense_RNA from 4 species
AGAGAGGCUUCCACGGUUCGCCGUUCGGGGGCCUUUUUCUUUUGC